UACGUAGGGUGCAAGCGUUGUCCGGAAUUAUUGGGCGUAAAGAGCUCGUAGGCGGUCUGUCGCGUCGAAUGUGAAAACCCGGGGCUCAACCCCGGGCCUGCAUUCGAUACGGGCAGACUAGAGUUCGGUAGGGGAGUCUGGAAUUCCUGGUGUAGCGGUGAAAUGACGCAGAUAUCAGGAGGAACACCGGUGGCGAAGGCGGGACUCUGGGCCGAUACUGACGCUGAGGAGCGAAAGCGUGGGGAGUGAACAGG
rnacentral:rRNA from 1 species